rnacentral:rRNA from 1 species
ACCACAACAGGUGGAGCCUGCGGUUUAAUCGGACUCAACGCCGGGAAACUCACCAGAUAAGACAGCUGAAUGAUAGUCGGGCUGAAGACUCUACUUGACUAGCUGAGAGGAGGUGCAUGGCCGUCGUCAGUUCGUACUGUGAAGCAUCCUGUUAAGUCAGGCAGCGAGCGAGACCCACGCCAACAGUUGCCAGCUCGUCCUCCGGGAUGGUGGGGACACUGUUGGGACCGCCUCUGCUAAAGAGGAGGAAGGAAUGGGCAACGGUAGGUCAGCAUGCCCCGAAUUAUCUGGGCUACACGCGGGCUACAAUGGGUGGGACAAUGGGUAUCGACACCGAAAGGUGAAGGCAAUCUCCUAAACCCAUCCGUAGUUCGGAUUGUGGGCUGCAACUCGCCCACAUGAAGCUGGAAUCUGUAGUAAUCGUGUCUCAAAAUGGCACGGUGAAUAUGUCCCUGCUCCUU